GCUGAUGACCAUCUAGAAUGGUUUAGUGGUAUAACGUUCGCUUCACAUGCAUGAGGGCACCAAAGGUGAUCUUCUGAGGACGCGAAAGGUCCGGGGUUCGAUGUGAGUCCCGCUUUCCCUCUGCUACAGCA